rnacentral:tRNA from 1 species
GGGCGUAUAGCUCAGUGGUAGAGCUCUGGUUUUACACACCAGCGGUCGGCGGUUCGAACCCGUCUGCGCCCA